AUUGAACGCUGGCGGCAUGCCUUACACAUGCAAGUCGAACGGCAGCACGGGAGCAAUCCUGGUGGCGAGUGGCGAACGGGUGAGUAAUAUAUCGGAACGUGCCCAGUCGUGGGGGAUAACGCAGCGAAAGCUGUGCUAAUACCGCAUACGAUCUAUGGAUGAAAGCGGGGGAUCGCAAGACCUUGCGCGAUUGUAGCGGCCGAUAUCAGAUUAGCUAGUUGGUGGGGUAAAGGCCCACCAAGGCGACGAUCUGUAGCUGGUCUGGGAGGACGACCAGCCACACUGGAACUGAGACACGGUCCAGACUCCUACGGGAGGCAGCAGUGGGGAAUUUUGGACAAUGGGCGCAAGCCUGAUCCAGCAAUGCCGCGUGCAGGAUGAAGGCCUUCGGGUUGUAAACUGCUUUUGUACGGAGCGAAACGGUCUGCCCUAAUACGGUGGGCUAAUGACGGUACCGUAAGAAUAGGCACCGGCUAACUACGUGCCAGCCGCCGCAGUAA
rnacentral:rRNA from 1 species